CAGGAAGUGAGGAUGCCAGGGGUCCGCAGCUGCGCAGAGAACCGACCUGUGGCUGGCUGGUGGCUCAGAUGCAUCAGUGCCUGAAAUUCCCUUUAAUCUCUGCUUUCGUCCCAUUUCACAUUUUCUGAUCCCAGAGAGAAGAGACCGGCAUGCCUCUGAGGGCAGAUAGGAAGGAGUGAAAUGUCCUAGACACACACCCACAACCAGCAGAUAAAGAAUGAAUUUCUUCAACAGUGUUUCUGCUUGCUGAUCAACAACAUGUUACUGCUUUGGGCCUUGCUGGAAAUGUUGUCUACAAUACCUCUGGUUGAAAGGUUCGCAUGUGAAGAGAAAGCUGAGUCUCCUAGAUAGUAAAGAAGAGGUUACUCAACCUGGAACUACGAAGAGACACAGAAGCAAAAGAGAACAGAAAGAAUUCAGCACUCCAAUAAGCAGAGUGGGUAGCAUUUAGUGCCUGCAAUGUGCAGGGUACUUAUGCCAGUGAGAUUGCUUCGAGGGGACCACAUUGUUUACAGUUAUUCAGAAGUGAAGUCCUCUUGUCCUGGACAGGAACUGGAUCCUAGCAACAAUCUCAUCAGCUUGGACAGUGACCCUUCCCCAUGUGACUCUUUAGUUGAAAUAGUUGGAUCAUGUGACCCUGAGAAACUGUUUGGAAGAAUUUAUCAGUGAAUUCAUCUCAGCCUGAGCAUCAGUUGAAUCCUAAAGUCAAUUAUGUGAGUUUGGAAGCAAGUCCUUCUACACCCGAACUUUCAGUUGAGUUCUCAGGUACUCUCUGUCACAUGAUUCUGGAUUCCUGACAACAGAGAAAUUGUGAGUAAGGUGUAUGUGGUUUUGAGCCACUAAACUAUGUGGUAAUAUGUUAUGCAUAAAUAAGUAAUGAACCUGACAUAAGUGUAAUGUGGUGUCCUGGAUGAGAUCUUAGCACAUGCAGAUGAUGUUAGUGAAAAACCUGGUGAUAUUUUUAAAACAUCUGCACUACAAUUAAAAGUUCUGUACCAUUUUCAAUUUCUGGAUUUUCAUACAUAUAAUAUGGUUAUGUAAUAUAUUAACAUUAUAGGCAGAUAAAGGGUAUAUGAAAAUCUACAUAGGAUACUUGCAACUUUUUAAAUUUAAAAAUAACUACAUAAAUAUUUUUUAAGAAUAUAUUUCAAAAAUUAUAUUUUGUAUAAAAAGAAUCCAAACGCAAGAAAAACAAACAAGCAAACACCAGAACUUUGGACUCAACAGGUAAUGCUCCAGAGAUACACUCCUCUUUCUCCUUCCCACUCACACUCCUUAUUACCCAGUCACCAAAUAGAAUGUCAAUAACCAUGUCUGCAAAGUGUCUGUGCCUCACAUAGCCCAGAGAGCCUCAUUUUAAGGUAUUCUUUGGCUGUGUGUCUUCAGGAUCCCACAAAAUACUUUUUAAAGAAAUCACUUCUAGACAUUAGAUGCCAAAAUUGAGAAAUGUUAGUGACAGAGAACAUAAAUAUUUUUUUCAAUGUAAGUCCAUGGAUGGUAGUUUGGGCAGCAGACUUGCAGGCAGGAAAGAAAAUGCAUAUGCAGGGUAAGGGCCUGUUCUAGUAAGGAAUUAACACUGACCAUUCCAUCAUGGAUGAUGCACAUUAUAUUCAACUUAAAACCAGGGGGCUGGCUGGUGACCCAAGGAACGGUGCCAUAUUAUUGCCAUCCAACCAGGUAUAUUUGCCCUCUGCCUAAGAGGAAGCCAACAUGCUGAGACAGAGAAUGAAUUUAAUCCACCUAGCACUAAGUGGGGAGAUGGGAGAAAUUUCUCAAAUCUGCCUCCCCAAGAAUUUGGGAAACAGAGUGUGUAAAAACAGUUUGGCAUAGGCAAUUGUGUUUGCUAAUCAGCUUGGUUUGUGACAUUACCUUAGGGUUGUGUAAACCGUCUUCUUUGCCAUUCAGGUUUUUAGGUGGUGGUUAUAAGGCUAGUUGAGUCAGUUCCUUAGUGUGGGCCACUACUCUGGGUGGGUCACCCAUUCCACUGAAAUGUUGGACCAAGAAGAUAUCUCAAAACUACCCCUAGAUUUCAA